CCGCCCAUAGCUCAAUUGGUAGAGCAGCUGGCUCUUAACCAGAAGGUUCUAGGUUCGAUUCCUAGUGGGCGGA
rnacentral:tRNA from 1 species